AUACGGAGGGGGCUAGCGUUGUUCGGAAUUACUGGGCGUAAAGCGUACGUAGGCGGACUGAUCAGUUGGGGGUGAAAUCCCAGGGCUUAACCCUGGAACUGCCUUCAGUACUGUCAGUCUUGAGAUUGGAAGAGGUGAGUGGAAUUCCUAGUGUAGAGGUGAAAUUCAUAGAUAUUAGGAGGAACACCAGUGGCGAAGGCGGCUCACUGGUCCAAUACUGACGCUGAGGUACGAAAGCGUGGGGAGCAAACAGGAUUAGAUACCCCAGUAGUCC
rnacentral:rRNA from 1 species